GUGAAUCUUUUGUAAAUGAUGCUGAAAUGCUAGGAAUACAUGCAUCAAAGAGAUUGCUGCACAAAGAGAAAACUGUGACUCUCUUAAAAAUGAUGAUGCUCAAAUAUUAGAUACUGAUAUGAAAAUAAGAUCUAUUG